UUGGAUUUAUUUACUAUGUUAGAUUACGGUUUUGACCUUUCGGUUAUUUCUCUCCGUUAUGAAAUUUUCACUUUCGUUUCUUACACAACUCUGUUUCUCUGGAUCCAAAUGCUUCCAAUUUCUUCCGGUUUCUGCUUUCCACGGAUGACUUACAAAGCUCGAGGCCCUUUCCUCUAGCUCUCAUUCUAAUCUGUUUGGAACAAAAUAUUGAUGGUUUGACAGAUGGCAGUGAUGGCAACACUAAAGAAGACAACCACCACACUCAAAGGAACAAUGGGUCUGGAAGCAUGCAAUUUGCUGGGGUCAAUUUGGCCACUGGGCUUUUUGAUGAAGUAUUGCUCUAUGCUACGAAAUCGUAUGCUGGCUUAUCCUUCCUUUCUUUUUAAAGUUGGGACAGAGGACAAUGUUGAUCAGUGAUGCUGGGAAGUUUAUGCCUUUGGAAAGGACUCAACAUGGUUCUAUGACAUAGUAAUAACAAGAUAGUUCUAUGACAAAGUAUAAACAAUGUACUUCUAUGGAAUGGUAUUAACAAUGUACUUCUAUG